rnacentral:rRNA from 1 species
AGAGUUUGAUCCUGGCUCAGAGUGAACGCUGGCGGCAGGCCUAACACAUACAAGUCGAACGGCAGCACAGCAGUAGCAAUACUGUGGGUGGCGAGUGGCGGACGGGUGAGGAAUGCGUCGGAAUCUGCCUUUUUGUGGGGGAUAACGUAGGGAAACUUACGCUAAUACCGCAUACGACCUACGGGUGAAAGUGGGGGACCUUCGGGCCUCACGCAGAAAGAUGAGCCGACGCCGGAUUAGCUAGUUGGCGGGGUAAAGGCCCACCAAGGCGACGAUCCGUAGCUGGUCUGAGAGGAUGAUCAGCCACACUGGGACUGAGACACGGCCCAGACUCCUACGGGAGGCAGCAGUGGGGAAUAUUGGACAAUGGGCGCAAGCCUGAUCCAGCCAUGCCGCGUGUGUGAAGAAGGCCUUCGGGUUGUAAAGCACUUUUGUCCGAAAAGAAAAGCUUCGGGUUAAUAACCUGGAGUCAUGACGGUACCGA